rnacentral:lncRNA from 1 species
UGGGAGCUGGCGAGCCUGCCCUGCUGGUCCCGCCGGGGCUCCCAUCCUCUCUGCGUUCCCAUCCCACGGCACCCGAGCCGUUCCUCGCUGCUCCCCCGGGGCGUUUUGGCUCGCCCCCAGCCCUUUUCUCCCCGGCUGCGGGCUCCUGACAGCGCUCCCGUUUCUGCCCGCAGCGCCGCCUCGUCUCCUGCGCCAGGAAAGCCCGGCUGCUCCUCUUCCAGUUCUCCCAGCACCUGGAGCUCUGGAGGCUCGGCUCCACCAAUGAGACCGGUGAGCUGUCGGGGAAGGACGGCGAGGUCCUCCCUGUCUGCCGCAUGCCCGAGCACCUCCUGCAGCUCAACAGCAAGGGUCCCGAGCACAUCUACUGCAGCUGCGUCUCGCCCUGCGGCAGCUGGGUCGCCUACUGCACGGCCUCCCGCUUCCACCUCUACCGCGUGCAGCACGAGGGCGACGGCGUCAGCGUCAAGAAGGUGGGCACGGGACGGAGGGAAGGGCAGGGGGGGAGCCCCCGGGGGGGCACGGGGUGACUGCUGAUGCUGCCUUCCUCCUCAGGUCCCCGGCGUGCCCAAGCUGCUGCUCCCGGCGUACCAGCUGCAGUGCGCCUCGGACGCGAGCCGGCUGUUUGUGGGCUCUGAGCGAG